ensembl:lncRNA
CUUUAGUGAUGUUGGCAACCUCUGUGUACUAUGUGUCUCUGACUUUAUGUAACCUAUCACUUCCACAUUGUUAAAAUACCACUGACAGUUGACUGUGGAAUAUUUAGAAAUUUCAUGACUGGACUUGCUGCGAUCCUAUCACGGUACCAUGCUGGAAUUCACUGAGCUCCUGAGAGCGACCAUUCUUUCCCAGAUGUUUGCAGAACCAGUCUGCAUGCCUAGGUGAUUUUUACAUUUACUUGAUUUUUUUUUUACACCUGUGGUCGUCAAAGCGAUUAGAAGAUGUGAAUUCAGUGAUUUGGAUUGGUGAGUAAAUACUUUUUCUUGGCAAUAAAGUUUCUCUGGCUUUCACAUUCACAGAACUAAAACUGCAAAAAUGUAUUAUUGCUUGAUUUUUAAACAGUUGAGACAGGAUGGCUGCUAAGGGUUUCACUUGUGUUUCUGUGUAUUUGUGCAAGUGAUCAUAGCAAAAUGUGUUGUUGUCACCUUGCGUCACAGCAACCUCCACAAAUGCAUUUUUGAGUACUUGACAGGUUUUAACAUGUAUGUGGAAAGACUCCACCAGUUUAGUUGAGUCACGUAAUGUUGAAAUAAAAUUGAAGGCCAACUUCUACACAAUGGUGACAGUAGAUGGCAAAAUUAGCCACAGUCAUUCUUUUCGUUUGUACAUAAGUGUGACUGUGCCCGCUUUAAGGUUCUGGUCUGUUUAUUAUUUAAAUGUCACUAUGCAAUUUUCAACAACCGCCAGCAUUAGGCUAAUAUAAACAUUCAGUUUCAGACAGUUCUCUUUCAAACCCUCUUUUCAGUGUCUCACUGUUGGGAACACUCUGUUAACGCUGCACUAAGCACCUGCAGGUUGAUCACUACACUGAUUUGAGCCUCAAGUGGAGUCUUUCAUUAUGAAAUACAAAUGCAUUUAUAUUUUGGUAUUAUAAAUGGAUUUAUAACACCAAAAAAGAAAUGCAGCAUCAUUCACAUUCCUCCUCUCUCCUGAAUGGUAAUGCAAGUGUUCUCUUAGCAGACGCUAGCAUGGGUUGUGUCUGCACUGCUUAGUCUCUACCGAAUAUUCAGGUUGAUUGAGCUCCAGACAAACCUUGCCUUUUUGCAAUAGUAAAGAACAUAGCUCCGCCCUGACACAAGCAUCACAGCUGCCAGUCAUCACAGCUGAAUCUUGUAACAGGUGUUAUGUUUAUCAUCAUCAGACAAUACCUGAUUGGGACCUUUUUAGUCAGGCUAUAUUUAAAAAAAAAUAAAAUAAAAAAAUUUAGAAUUGCUAGAACUGCUACAGGUUGAUGUGAACACAACAGUCUAUCUGCGUUGGCUUUGCGACCUGCCCAGAGGGGAACCUUUCCCCCACCCCACCCCGAUAAGAGGUCAAACAGACAUUUGGAAUGAGGUAACUGGGCCAAAGUGUGAAGUCUGCAUAGGACAUAAAGCACAUGUACCAUCCAGGAGGUGCACAGAGUGGAGCUGUACUGUAACAAUGACUCUUCAGUGAGCAAAAUGAUGGAACAGCCCCCCCCCUUGGCAGACAGUGGAUAACUAAAGUUCACUUGUUUGUAGACUCAACCAAUAAAACAAAAAACCAUGAACACCCAAAUAUUUUUUAAAUAUUAUUUUAAUACUUUUCUUUAAAAAACAAACAAACAAACAAACAAAAAAAAAAAGAUGUUGUACUCCAUAAUCUGAACAAGAUGAAUCUAUUGACCUCAAUGCCUCACUCACCAACAUACCAACACAUUGUUCUGGGUAAAAGAAAAAAAAAAACAUAGCAAAGGGAAAAGAAACUUAAAAACAGUUAAAUAUGAAAACGGAAAGGAAGUAGAACAUUAAAAAAAGGAGAAGAAGAAGAAGACGUGAUUAUAGAGUCAGAAACACUCAUGGAUCAGUGGGCCAACCAACAGACAGUCGGGGGGAGGGGAAAGAAAAAAAAAAAAAAAAAAAAAGCUCAGUUUCCAAACACAAUGGCAUACAACAUCCCAAAACUGUUACCGUGGAUGAUAAAAACAUCUCAGAAAUAAGAGCUAAAAACAACAGAAUCAGAACCUAUUAUACAGACUGCAGAAGCUGGGAACGAGAUAGUGGAAGAUGAGACGGCAAAGAGACUAAAAACAUGAACAUGAUGAAUAAAAAUAACAAAUCCAUAAAAGAACACAAGUAAUCAAUGAGUCAAGAGCGGAUUCAUCGGACAACUGGAGCAUGAUGGGAGGGGGCUACUAAAGUAGUCGCAUAAGAUGAUUGGUGGAACCGCUUCAAACUAGUACAGAGCAAACUACUGCAUGGUUUUUAAAAAAAAAAAAAAAAAAAAAAAAGGGGGGGGGGGGGGGGGGGACAGGAAAAUUAAAUAGCA